GGGUCGGUGGCGUAGUUGGUUAUCGCAUCUGUCUAACAACCUGUCCACAGAAGGUCCUCAGUUCGAGCCUGGGCCGACUCA